rnacentral:lncRNA from 1 species
CUGUUAACUAUAGCUAAAGCCAGCGAGCCGCCGAUAUGGUCGUUGAGCUCAGAGGCGGCUCUGUAACUUGCUUGGUACUGAACCAAGAAUACUGCUACUAUGGCUGUCCCAAUUGGGAAUUUCUUUAUCCUGAAAUGUCUUCUAUUGUCUCUUCUACUAGCAGGUUUCUCUUCUGAAGGAAAUGUCUUACGAGUCACUUGCGGAAUCGAGCUAGCUUUGGAACUGGUGUUGUUUCCAGACGAGGGAAGAGCUGUGUUUGAUGGAGUCCAAUAAUCUUCUCCAAGCAUGUAAGCUGAUCCUUUUUCUUUAGUUUUCCCCCCGCUCUGUUCUGCUUGUUUCAUUGCUGCCACAGCAUCUUGAAGCUUUCUGAUAUCUGGAUCAACUGUUUUUUUUCGUUUGGUGAAAGUUAGACUCAUGUUUGAAUCUGGACUCAACGGUUUCGUGUACGGUGAUGAUCUCCAGUAUAGCCAAUUGGAAAUGGACCUUAUUGCCUCUACUGCACUUAUUUGUACUUCUCUCUGCAAGUAUUAAUAUAACUACUUAUUAUCUGACAGGUAAGUUUAUAACUUGGCUUUUACUACUUCUUACUUCUUAGGAUAAUGGAUAACUCACCUGGGAAGUUUCUUUCGUGGUUCGGCUCAUGGCUUUGGCGUAUCUUUCUUGGAACUUCUUGACAUCAACAAAUACAUUGGAGACACGCUCGCCAACCGUGUUUCCAACCCCGAUUCUCACGUUGCCUCGUGGUUGCUUUGACAUAAGGAACUCUAAUGGAGCAAGGUCAGAUCUCUCCACCAUUCUGCACAUCUCAUAAAGAAUCAUACUUUAUGUAUUUCUCUAAAUGUCUCUCUUGACUUCACAUAUUGAGAGGGAAUUGAAACAAAACCAUUACUACAUGUCUACAUCUACUAGUUAUGUGCUUACGAAAUGCAGUCGACAAGGCAAGCUUCGAUGGCUUCUUUGAUUUUGGAUUCAGGAUCAGCCCAUUGAGCAACAACCCUCGCUCUCCCGUAAGCAGUUUCAAUAGCAAAUGUUUUCUCUGCACACAAAGCACACUUUAAGCAACCAACACACUUAACCUCGUCAACAAAUGCAGCUCGUUGCUCUGUUUCUGGUCCACACCAAACCGAAUAGAUCGGUUUCCCUGUGUAUCCUCUGAGUUCUUCCAGUUUUGCUUGCUCCUACAACAAGAAAGUUUCAUAUUUACUUGGUGUGCCCUUGACAG